rnacentral:rRNA from 1 species
CCUACGGGUGGCAGCAGUGGGGAAUAUUGCGCAAUGGACGAAAGUCUGACGCAGCGACGCCGCGUGAGGGAUGAAGGUUUUCGGAUCGUAAACCUCUGUCAGGAGGGAAGAAAGCGCAUGGCGCCAAUCAGCCAUGCGUUGACGGUACCUCCAAAGGAAGCGCCGGCUAACUCCGUACCAGCAGCCGCGGUAAUACGGGGGGCGCGAGCGUUAAUCGGAAGUACUGGGCGUAAGGCUCGCGUAGGCGGUUGUGUACGUUGGGGGUGAAAUCCCACGGCUCAACCGUGGAACAGGCAUUGAUACUGAGCGACUUGAAUCUGGGAGAGGGUGGCGGAAUUCCAGGUGUAGGAGUGAAAUCCGUAGAUAUAUGGAGGAAAAUAAGUGGCGAAGGCGGCCACCUGGACCGGUAUUGACGCUGAGGCGCGAAAGCGUGGGGAGCAAACAGGAUUAGAUACCCUUGUAGU